ensembl:lncRNA
AUGAAAGAUAAUGGGGAAAAUGAGCCAUCGAUGGAUGGUGUUGUGGUGGAUAGUGUUGUGAUGGAUAAUGUUGUGAUGGAUAAUGUUGUGAUGGAUAAUGNNNNNNNNNNGAUGGAUAAUGUUGUAGUGGAUGACAUUCCGGAUCAAGAGGAAGUUGUGAAUAAGGAUAGUGUAUACGAAGGUAAAGAUAUUGUCAAAGAUAACAAUAUUGUUGAAGAUAAUAAUAUUGUCGAAGAUAACGAUGUUGUUGAAGAUAAAAAUAUUGUCGANNNNNNNNNNAAUAUUGUCGAAGAUAACGAUGUUGUUGAAGAUAAAAAUAUUGUCGAAGAUAACGAUGUUGUUGAAGAUAAUAAUAUUGUCGAAGAUAACGAUGUUGUUGAAGAUAACGAUGUUAAUAUUAACACAACACAUAAUGAUUUUUCACAAGAUGGAGAGGAUUUGUUUUACAGCGUUUUUAGUUCAGGACACAAUGUAUACGGGGGUCAAGAGUUGAAGGUAUCAAACAAAACUGAAGAAGAAAACACUACCGAAAUAGUUGAUGUGGAUGUUGAGACAAACAAAGAUGAAGUAAUUGAUAUAACCGUCGAAGAAAAUAAAAGUGAAAUAGUUGACAUGGUUGUUGAGACAAACGAAACCGAUAAGAAUAAACAAAUGGUAGAAUAUAAUAAAAGCAAAUCAAAUAUUGAAGAUAAGGAAAAAAAAACAGAUAAAACAGAUAAAACAGAUAAAACAGAUAAAACAGAUAANNNNNNNNNNACAGAUAAAACAGAUAAAACAGAUAAAACAGAUAAAACAGAUAAAACGGAUAAAACAGAUAAAACAGAUAAAACGGAUAAAACAGAUAAAACGGAUGAUAGAAAAACAAAAAUUACAAAAAAGUUACUCAUUAAAAAGAAAAAGAAAAAAAAAGAAAAAAAAAUAAAUGAGCUGUAUAAAAAAUUGUCCAUAUCGAAUUUUAGCUUUUAUCCGUUUAAAGGGAAAAAGAAUAUAAUGAAAAGUAAAAAUUGGCAUGAAAACGAGCAUGUAUAUGAUAGAACAGAUGAACAUAAACAUGAGGAUAAAAAGGAGCAAAUACUCGAACAAAUAGAAGAUCAAACAAAAGAACACACAAACGAGCAUGGAGAGGAGCAAGCAGACGAACACACAAACGAGUAUGGAGAGGAUCAAACAAACGGAGUAAGUAAAAAUGUUAUAAAAGAUAUUAUUAACAAAGAUAAACCUAAAAAAGAGAACAAUAUUCAAAUAGUUUUAAAAAAAAGUAAAGAAAAUUUUGUUAUAGAAAAAGAAAAAAGAAAAAAUGACAUAAAAUAUCAAGAUGAAGAUAUUAAAAAUAAGGGUAUAUAUAAAGAACCUAUAACAAAUGAAAGUGUUUAUACAAUGGAUGAAACAGAAAAGAAAGACUUACCAAAAAUAAUCGAUGCGACAAUAGAACCAGAAAUAAUCGAUAUGACGGAAGAAUCAGAAAUAAUUGAUGCGACAAUAGAACCAGAAAUAAUCGAUGUGACCAUAGAACCAGAAAUAAUUGAUGCGAUGAUAGAACCAGAAAUAAUAAAUACACAAAUAGAAUCUCCAAUGGCAGAUACACAAGCACAGUCCAAAAUGACAGAUGCUCAAGUAGAACCCAAAAUGACAGAUGCUCAAAUAGAAUCCAAAAUGUUAGAUGCACAGAUGGAAGAGUUAUUUAUAUCUGAAUCUGAAUAUGACGGACCAGGAUUAGAAGAACCCGAAAUAGAAAACGUAGAAGGUGAUGCAAGUCCAAAAAACACUUCGAUUAAGUAUGAUAAAAAAGCAGAAGCAUUAAAUAAUUUAAUUAAAAAUGUUGGUGGAUAUUUAUUUAAUACAAAAAGGAAAAGUAAUCAUAAUAUAGAUAGUUAUGAGAUAAAAUUAGAUAAGUAUAGGAAAAAAAUACACAAUUCUAAGAAACAAAUAGAUAGCGAUAGUAACGAACAAAGUGAAAAGAUUGAUAAUAAAAGAAAAAGAGUGAUGCAAUGUGAAAGUAGCAAUAUAUCAGAUAACUUAUUAAAUAAUACAAGUGGAACAAUACUUAAAGAUAUAAAACAAAAUGAUGGGCAAGAUGGUGUUUUAUGUAAUACAACGACAUUACAUAACAAUCUGAUUUAUAAACUUUUUGAUAGUAAAAAAAAGGUAAUUGAUUAUAAUGAUAUAUUAAAAAAAGGACGUGUAAGUAAAAAGCAGAAAACGGAUGUUUGUCGUGUUUUAUCUCUUGAAAAUGAAAAAAGUUGUCCUAUAGAUGAUGGUGGUCCUAUAGUCGAUAGUGGUUCUAUAGACGAUAGUGGUCCAAUAGACAGGGUAAAUAUUGCUUUAGUGUGCUCUCUUAAAAUUAGCAAUGUAUCAGCAGGUUCAGAUAAUUACUCCAUUUACAACCCAUACGCAGAUUUACCUCUUAUACAAAAGGUUAAAAUAAAUAAUUAAUAGUAAUAGGAUAUGUUAUAUAUAUAUAUAUAAACAUAUACAUGUAUAUAUAUGUGUGUACAAGUUAAAUAUGAAAAUAGUGUUGAAAAAAAAAAAAAAAUCUAUAAAAAGUUUAGAUAUUAAUAAAUUAUCACUUUUUUUCUCA